AACGAACGCUGGCGGCAGGCCUAACACAUGCAAGUCGAGCGAGGACUUCGGUCCUAGCGGCGUACGGGUGAGUAACGCGUGGGAACGUGCUCUUUGCUUCGGAAUAGCUCUUGGAAACUGGGAGUAAUACCGGAUGAGCCCUUUGGUGGAAUGGUUUAUCGGCGAAGGAUCGGCCCGCGUUGGAUUAGGUUGUUGGUGGGGUUAUGGCCUACCACGCCGACGAUCCAUAGCUGGUUUGAGAGGAUGAUCAGCAACACUGGGAGUUAGACACGGCCCAGACUCCUACGGGAGGCAGCAGUGGGGAAUCUUAGACAAUGGGGGAAACCCUGAUCUAGCCAGGCCGCGUGAGCGAUGAAGGCCUUAGGGUUGUAAAGCUCUUUCAGCUGGGAAGAUAAUGACGGUACCAGCAGAAGAAGCCCCGGCUAACUCCGUG
rnacentral:rRNA from 1 species